CGAGUGGCGAACGGGUGAGUAAUAUAUCGGAACGUACCCUGGAGUGGGGGAUAACGUAGCGAAAGUUACGCUAAUACCGCAUACGAUCUAAGGAUGAAAGUGGGGGAUUCGCAAGAACCUCAUGCUCCUGGAGCGGCCGAUAUCUGAUUAGCUAGUUGGUGGGGUAAAGGCCUACCAAGGCAUCGAUCAGUAGCUGGUCUGAGAGGACGACCAGCCACACUGGAACUGAGACACGGUCCAGACUCCUACGGGAGGCAGCAGUGGGGAAUUUUGGACAAUGGGCGCAAGCCUGAUCCAGCAAUGCCGCGUGAGUGAAGAAGGCCUGCGGGUUGUAAAGCUCUUUUGUCAGGGAAGAAACGGUGAGAGCUAAUAUCUUUUGCUAAUGACGGUACCUGAAGAAUAAGCACCGGCUAACUACGUGCCAGCAGCCGCGGUAAUACGUAGGGUGCAAGCGUUAAUCGGAAUUACUGGGCGUAAAGCGUGCGCAGGCGGUUUUGUAAGUCUGUCGUGAAAUCCCCGGGCUCAACCUGGGAAUUGCGAUGGAGACUGCAAGGCUAGAAUCUGGCAGAGGGGGGUAGAAUUCCACGUGUAGCAGUGAAAUGCGUAGAGAUGUGGAGGAACACCGAUGGCGAAGGCAGCCCCCUGGGUCAAGAUUGACGCUCAUGCACGAAAGCGUGGGGAGCAAACAGGAUUAGAUACCCUGGUAGUCCACGCCCUAAACGAUGUCUACUAGUUGUCGGGUUUUAAUUAACUUGGUAACGCAGCUAACGCGUGAAGUAGACCGCCUGGGGAGUACGGUCGCAAGAUUAAAACUCAAAGGAAUUGACGGGGGACCCGCACAAGCGG
rnacentral:rRNA from 1 species